GUGGGGAAUCUUCCGCAAUGGGCGAAAGCCUGACGGAGCAACGCCGCGUGAGUGAAGAAGGUUUUCGGAUCGUAAAGCUCUGUUGUCAGGGACGAGAGAGUCUGUCAGGAAAUGGGCAGGCUAGGACGGUACCUGGCGAGAAAGCCACGGCUAACUACGUGCCAGCAGCCGCGGUAAUACGUAGGUGGCGAGCGUUGUCCGGAAUUAUUGGGCGUAAAGGGAGCGCAGGUGGGAAAGUAAGUCAGUCUUAAAAGUGCGGGGCUCAACCCCGUGAGGGGAUUGAAACUACUUUUCUUGAGUGCAGGAGAGGAAAGCGGAAUUCCUAGUGUAGCGGUGAAAUGCGUAGAUAUUAGGAGGAACACCAGUGGCGAAGGCGGCUUUCUGGACUGUAACUGACACUGAGGCUCGAAAGCGUGGGGAGCGAACAGGAUUAGAAACCCUAGUAGUCC
rnacentral:rRNA from 1 species